CUGGACUGGAGGCUGAGCUUGAGGAGCUAAUGUAAGCUAUUACUCCACCUGGUGGAUGACACACAGAAAAGCAACAAAUUAUUUUUCAAACUUCAUUUCCAAAUCAUGUGGAUCCUAAUAUGCAGACAUAAAUUAUGAAGCAUGCACACCAUCCUGUCUGCUGCUCGCCCCAGCUGAUAAGUAAAUACCUGCCUUGAAAACUUUUGUACAGAUUCCCAGUUCAUCUGCAAGCUCUCACAAUAAAGACACAUGAUGUGACCAUACAAAGGUACUUUAUUUGUGUAAAUGUACAGCACGCAUUGUUUAGCGAUAACGGUGCAGCUGCAGGGUGUUGCGUCUCUUCCAGGCCGCACGUCGAGAGCCGCCGAUGGUGAGGUGGAACUUGUGGCCCUUGCCCAGACCACGGCUCUUCUUGCCAGCAGACGUGAGGCCACGCAUUUCCCUGUGCUUGUGCACAGGCUUGGUGAUCCAUUGCGUGUCGGGGUUGCGUCUGAUGGCUUUGUGGAAGAUGUCGACGAGGA